rfam:Blautia sp. CAG:37, WGS project CBJJ01000000 data, contig: 26
ACUGUGGAGUGUACAUGGACCUACGAGUAGAUAUGAUUUCGGUCAAUCAAAAGUAUACACAAGGAAGCAGUAA